rnacentral:rRNA from 1 species
GAUGAACGCUGGCGGCGUGCCUAACACAUGCAAGUCGAACGUGAGGGUGUAGCAAUAUACCUGAAAGUGGCGAACGGGUGAGUAACACGUGGGUAACCUGCCGCGCAGAGGGGGAUAACCAUUGGAAACGAUGGCUAAGACCGCAUGGUCCUUACUAGGCGGGAGUCUAGUGGGGUAAAGCCUUGGCGCUGCGCGAGGGGCCUGCGUCCGAUUAGCUAGUUGGUGAGGUAACGGCUCACCAAGGCGAUGAUCGGUAGCUGGUCUGAGAGGAUGAUCAGCCACACGGGAACUGAGACACGGUCCCGACUCCUACGGGGGGCAGCAGUGAGGAAUAUUGCACAAUGGACGCAAGUCUGAUGCAGCAACGCCGCGUGGAGGAUGAAGGUCUUUGGAUCGUAAACUCCUUUUAAUCGGGGAAGAGUAAGGACGGUACCCGAGGAAUAAGUCACGGCUAACUACGUG